GGGGAAUCUUCCGCAAUGGGCGCAAGCCUGACGGAGCAAGACCGCGUGCGGGAGGACGGCCUAUUGGUUGUAAACCGCUUUUGAUAGGGAAGAAGCUCUGACGGUACCUAUCGAAUCAGCAUCGGCUAACUCCGUGCCAGCAGCCGCGGUAAUACGGAGGAUGCAAGCGUUAUCCGGAAUUAUUGGGCGUAAAGCGUCCGUAGGUGGUUGUUCAAGUCUGCUGUUAAAGCGUGCGGCUUAUCCGCAUACCAGCAGUGGAAACUGGGCGACUAGAGUGCGGUAGGGAUCAGGGGAAUUCCCAGUGUAGCGGUGAAAUGCGUAGACAUAGGAAGAACACCAGCGGUGAAAGCACGUAUAUUGGCCUGAUCAGACACUGAGGGUCGAUAUCUAGGGGAGCGAAUGGGAUUAAAUACCACUAUAGUC
rnacentral:rRNA from 1 species